ensembl:lncRNA
GUUCCGGCGAGGUCAGCUGCAGGGAGGAAAGACAGCGAAGCAACUUGACUCCACUGAAGUCGUUUGAGGGUCUGUGGAACCAUCUGAGGAGAGGUCAGAAGGAACAGGUCCAAUAGAAGCAUCUGUGUCUGUGAGAGAAGAUUGGAACAUCUGGAUCCAGAGAUCACUUCUCUGGAGCUGUCCUGGGUGUAGUACAAAUCAAACUACUAAUCAGUUCCUGUCACAGGAUUACCAGCUGCUGUCCACUGAGGGGCCGGAUGCGAACAUUUACCAAGAGGAGCCUGAUGGUGAAAGUCAGUGGUACCCCGACACUGAUGACACCCCAAGACAGUAGGAAGUAGCCUGAGACACAGUGCCCCUCUCUCCCUUUCACCAUCAGCUUCCCCCUCCCUUCCCCCCCCCCCCUUCUUUUUAUGCUAAGAAAAAGGGAAGUAUGUUGGUAUCAGGAAUUGCCUUUACCUCCAACAGCGACACCGGUUGGUCACUGUUGCCAUGGCAACGGCCGUACAUUCCCAGUGUUCCUUUAGUUUAAUUCCCACCUCCAUCUGGGAGUAGUUACCUCACAUUCCAAAUAAAAGGCAGCCCUCUUCUGCCCUCCUUCUCUUCCUCUUCUUUCUCUCGAUCCUUCCCCUUGUCUCGUUCUCCCAUUAAAUCUCUCCACGUGGAACUGUGUUGGUUUGGUGUGCUCUAUCUGGACGGGC